UAAACGACUCUCGGCAACGGAUAUCUCGGCUCUCGCAUCGAUGAAGAACGUAGCGAAAUGCGAUACUUGGUGUGAAUUGCAGAAUCCCGUGAACCAUCGAGUCUUUGAACGCAAGUUGCGCCCGAAGCCACCAGGCCGAGGGCACGUCUGCCUGGGCGUCACGC
rnacentral:rRNA from 1 species